UACGUAGGGUGCGAGCGUUGUCCGGAAUUAUUGGGCGUAAAGAGCUCGUAGGCGGUCUGUCGCGUCGAUCGUGAAAACUUGGGGCUUAACCCUGAGCUUGCGGUCGAUACGGGCAUGACUGGAGUUCGGCAGGGGAGACUGGAAUUCCUGGUGUAGCGGUGAAAUGCGCAGAUAUCAGGAGGAACACCGGUGGCGAAGGCGGGUCUCUGGGCAUCUCCUGACGCUGAGGCGCGAAAGCGUGGGGAGCAAACAGG
rnacentral:rRNA from 1 species